AAAUUAAGUUAAAAAAGGGAAGAAUGGCAAGCUAGGGUGCGCUAAUAAGACGGGCGGCCCGAAAGGACGAGGGAGGAGUUUUGAACUCGGAUAUCUUCGCGGAAACGCAGGGGAAUAAACUGGAAACUAAAACAUUAAAGUACCAGGACCAACUGGCACAGAGAAAUCAAACGAGCUUCCGUAAGUAGCGGCGAGCGAAAGCGGAAAAGUCCUAAAUAAAUUAGAAGUUGAAAAUAGGCGUCUACACACCUAAGACUAAAUGUUAGUGCACACCCAAAGAGAGAGUACUGUGAAGGAAGGUUGAAAGAGCUUUGAAAAGAUCUUAAAAUAUGUCCCCUCAAGCAGACAUAAAAUGUCGUACCUUUUGUAUUAUGGGUUGGCAAGGAAAAAUUUAGUAAACUUAAGUUCAGAGAUGAAGGUAUAGUGAAAUCAAGAGAAUAUUACCUCUUUAAGUUAAAUUACCCGAAACCAAGUGACCUAGCCUUGGGCAGUUUAAAGGAACGAACCGGGAGUUGUAGCAAAAAUUUCGGAGGACUUGGGGCUAGGGGUGAAAAGCUAAUCAAACUUGGAGAUAGCUGGUUUUCUGCGAAAAAUAUUGAAGUAGUGCGGCCAAAAAACUUAAUUUUACAUUAUAAAGUUCAAUUGCUCGGAGAGGGAUUAGCUCUGAAUGGAAAAAAUUAGGGUGGGCAGACAGACACUGGGCGAUGAGGCCAAUUGUCAAAAGGGAGAAGCCCUAAUCAAAAGUUAAAGCCACAAAUCAAAGCCUUUAUUAAGUGUGAACGGGGUGGAUAAUUAAGACAAUAAGGAAGUAGGCUUGGAGCCAGCCUUCUUUGAAAGAUGACGUAAAAGUUCACUUUAGAAGUUCUACUUUCUCUAAAAUUAGGGUGGCUAAAAUUGGGCUGAGACUUUGAGGAUGAAGUAAACUCUUCAUUCGGUAGCAGAACGGGCUGUAAUAUUAGUUCGGCGAAAGCCUUACUAUCAGAAGUGAUAAGGCCAACAUGAGUAAAAAAGCAUGGAUUACUCCCCCAAGGCUUCAAUUAUUAAUUGGGCCAGACAGCCCUUAAGUAGUAAUCUUUUGGUUACGUCGAUAGGUCUUAUAAAAGUGCACGAAGUGCCAGGAAAAAUUUAUAAAUUAUUACUGUACUAGUUUAACGCAAGUGGGGUGAAGUGAGGAGAAAACUUCUCUUAAGGAAUUAGGCAAAUUUGGGGCCUCGGCUGUUUACCAAAAACAUAGCUCUCGGCCAAAGCUAAAUGCUGAAGUAUGGAGGGUGAAGCCUGCCCAAUGGUUGUUUAUGAAAAGGUUGGCUAAAGUCAACUUUGUAAGGACAAUUAAAUGGCCGCGAGAUUAUAAAUCGUGAUAAUGUAGCACAAUCAAUUGUCAAUUAAUUGUUGGCCGGUAUGAAUGGCUUGUUGGCCGGUAUGAAUGGCAUCACGAAGGCCCCACUGUCUUAAGAGAACUCUCCAUGAAAUUGAAUUCGUAGUGAAGAUGCUACGUCCAUAUUGUAAGACGAAAAGACCCCAUUGAGCUUUACUAAAAACUUGUAUGGCUCGAAAUAACUUAAAUAAAAAGUUUAGAUAAUGUGGGACCCGUUUUUGGUUAAUGAAACACCACUCUUUUAUUUUAAGAGAGCUAACCUUGUUGGGAUAAUGCAAGUUGGAUAGUUUGGUUGGGGCGACCGCCUUUUAAAAGGUAACGAAGGUGAGCUUAAGGUCUAUAAUUAAUAGCCGAUGGCUUGACUGCAAGGGGGACAUCCCGAGCAGACACUGGUAAUUACCCAGUGGGCUAUAAUGACCCGUCAUCUUAGAGUGGAAUAGUUGACGAUCAACGAAUAAAAGUUACCUUGGGGAUAACAGCGUUAUAUUGUUAGAGAGUUUAUUGACGACGAUGUUUGCGACCUCGAUGUUGAAUUGUGGCACCCUGGGGUGCAGCAGCCUCCAAGGGUGGGAUUGUUCGUCCAUUAAAGCCGUACAUGAUUUGAGUUAAAAGCGUGGUAACACAGCUUGGUUUCUAUCUACAAUAUAAAUAAACAUCAAUGUAACUAUCUUCUAGUACGAAAGGAUCGAAGAAUUAGUGAUCCUCUUAUUUUUACAAGGUACGAUUGAUUUCUUAGUCUCCUAGUAGGGGGCUUAUAAUUAAUCACUGAUUGCUUCUCAAAUGUGAACAUUUCAUUGUAUUGUUUAGGUACAAAGAACUUUUAGC
rnacentral:rRNA from 1 species